UACAGAGGUCUCAAGCGUUGUUCGGAUUCAUUGGGCGUAAAGGGUGUGUAGGUGGCGCGCUAAGUCGGGUGUGAAAUUUCGGAGCUUAACUCCGAAACUGCAUUCGAUACUGGCGUGCUUGAGGACUGGAGAGGAGACUGGAAUUCAUGGUGUAGCAGUGAAAUGCGUAGAGAUCAUGAGGAACACCAGUGGCGAAGGCGGCUCACUGGCCCGAUACUGACGCUGAGGCACGAAAGCGUGGGGAGCAAACAGG
rnacentral:rRNA from 1 species